rnacentral:rRNA from 1 species
GACGAACGCUGGCGGCGUGCCUAAUACAUGCAAGUCGAGCGGGGUUGUCGGAGUGGAGUCCUUCGGGAUGAAGCACCGUCAACCUAGCGGCGGACGGGUGAGUAACGCGUGGGUAACCUGCCCUAAAGCCCGGGAUAACACCGGGAAACUGGUGCUAACACCGGAUACCUUCCGAAGAGGGCAUCCUUUUUGGAAGAAAGGUUAACGCUUUAGGAUGGGCCCGCGUCCCAUUAGCUAGUUGGUGAGGUAACGGCUCACCAAGGCAGUGAUGGGUAGCCGGCCUGAGAGGGUGGACGGCCACACUGGGACUGAGACACGGCCCAGACUCCUACGGGAGGCAGCAGUAGGGAAUAUUGCGCAAUGGGCGAAAAGCCUGACGCAGCGACGCCGCGUGGGUGAUGAAGGCCUUCGGGUUGUAAAACCCUGUCCUUGGGGAAGAAGGAAGUGACGGUACCCAAGGAGGAAGCCCGGCUAACACGUGCCAGCCGCCGCGGUAAAACCCUGUACAGU